GGAUUCAUUUCCGGUCGUGUACUCGUGUCGAGGUCCUUUCUGGACUGAGAUGCGAACUGGAUCCGCGAACUGGAUUCGCGUGAACAGUGAACUGGCGUCCGGCAGCUGCCGGUGCUUGCGUCUCAGCGUCUAUUCGGUUGAGAAAUCAGAAUUCGUACUGAUCGGAGAGGUGAUCGCGUGAUUGAAAAUUGCCUGAUUAGAAUGCCGAGGCGAUAACACUGAUUUCCGUGACUUGUAUGGAUCCCGCCGAAGCCCUGAGCCGUGAGACCCCUUCGCCGCCCGCCGCCGGCUCCAUCCCCAUCGCUCCGCCCACCCCAGGCAGAAUGCAGGGCUAUGAAGUUGCUCAGGGAAGCCAGAGAGAAUGUGGGGAAUCUAGCGGAAGCAUAAUUGAACCAAUGAGCAACAUGCUCUUCAGCUCUAGACUUAGCACCAAUGUAUCGAAUGACUGACUGUGCAACAAGCUAAGGAGAGGCUUCAUCAGAGACUCAGAAGUGUGGAGUAAUUUCCAGGAAGAAGGAAAACAGUGUCAACUAUGGGCACUGGGGCAGGACCUAUCUUCCUUCCGAAGCUGAUAUAUGCAAAUAUAAGGAUGAGAGAUUGGAUAAAACCUAAUUAUUAGCUCGAACUCCAGCGCCUUCCUGCCAACCCAGAGGGUUAAAUAAACCAUAGCAGACUCUUUCAGUGAUAUGGAAGCUGCAGCACCGCAUCUGAGACCUGUCUCCAAAGUAGGACGAGAAACUCUGGAUGGAACAAUUGAAGGCGAUGACGUCGAGCCUUCUGUGGACUGCUCAAUAUGCCUGGAAAGAUGCAGUAGUGCUGCAGAAGGGCUGAUGCAGCUGCGGUGCAAGCAGGGCACAUCUUCCAUAAAGCCUGCGCGCCGAUUCCCCGUAUUGUAGGACCAGUGUUGUGGUAACGCAGAAAGGGUGACCUGGAAUAUUAGCAAUGACAGGUUACUGUGUUUUUGUUCUUGGUGUUUUAGGAGAACUUUCGUUUUGCAGGGCGAUCAGAUGUCGCUGUAGACGGCUUGAGCAAAUAGAACUGCCCCCUCACUGCAACUCGUAAGGCUACAAGUGGAUGUCGGAAUGCUGGACAUCAUGUAUGCAUGUAAAGGUGUUAAAACUUGUUUGCAUAGGAGCAACGAACGUGCUUGUUUCCUGUUAACAGUGUAGAGCUAAAACUUAGGGGCAAGCGUCUCUACAAAGUCUGUUGUAUACGUAUGCUACUGAUGUUGGACACAAAAUAGAACAUGGACAAAGCUAAGUGCCAGCCA